GCGCGUGCAACCAUUUCUGAAGAGGGCAAAACACCCGAACUUCGUCUUAAAGAAACAGAAAUAAACUUUCUUUUUUUUCUUUUUCUUUCUUUCUUUCUUUUUUUUUUUUUGAGAUGGAGUUUCGCUCUUGUCGCCCAGGCUGUAGUGCAAUGGCACGAUCUCGGCUCACUGCAACCUCCACCUCCCGGGUUCAAGCGAUUCUCCUGCCUCAGCCUGCCAAGUAGCUGGGAUUACAGGCAUGAGCCACCACACCCGGCUAAUUUUUGAAUUUUUAGUAGAGACAGGGUUGCACCAUGUUGGCCAGGCUGGUUUCGAACUCCUGACCUCAAGUGAUUCGCCCGCCUCGGCCUCCCAAAGUGCUGGGAUUACAGGAGUGAGCUACCGCGCCCGGCAGAAAUAAACAGAGCAGUGAAAAUUUUUAAUUGCCCAAAGUGCAGAUUCCCAGCUGAGGCUGAACAACGCAUCCUCUGGGUGCCCAUGGAACUGAGGUACCACAGAAUUUUGCAAUUAAUGUUGCGGAAGCACAGCCAUAGCUCUCACUUUAAAAUGUACGUGUAUGGGCCGGGCGCGGUGGCUCACGCCUGUAAUCCCAGCACUCUGGGAGGCCAAGGCGGGCGGAUCACGAGGUCAGGAGAUCGAGACCAUCCUGGCUAACACGGUGAAACCCCGUCUCUACUAAACAUACAAAGAAUUAGCCGGGCGUGGUGGCGGGCGCCUGUGGUCCCAGCUACUCGGGAGCCUGAGGCAGGAGAAUGGCGUGAACCUGGGAGGCAGAGCUUGCAGUGAGCAGAGAUCGAGCCACUGCACUCCAGCCUGGGCGACAGAGCGAGACUCCGUCUCAAAAAAAAAAAAAAAAAAAAAAAAAGUACUUGUAUGUCUUGUGUGUCCACCUUUAUUAAAUGUAUUAUAGGACUGUAGAUUGUUGAAAGACAUUAUUUAAGUGGAGACCCUGCAAGAAACAGGAAGAGAGAAACCGAGAAAGAAUAAAGUGUGGAGAGUAGAGGGGAAAAGGAUACUAGAAGGCAGGAGCACUGCUUUUAUAGGCUCUUUGAAACAGUGGUAAUUUCUUGGGAAGGCUUUUCUUAUCCCUGGUGCAUAAAAGGAAGUAAAGUGUAUUUGAAAAAAACCUUUCCCUCAGUAUGUAAUUGAUUCUUGUUAUUUGCAGUAGUUAGGUUCUGUAAAGUUGCUGGAAACACUGAAUUAGUAAAUACUGAAUCAUUACUCCUAAGGGAAAUACAGGAUUAGGAUCCUGUAAGCCUCUGGUCGCAUUUUCAUCAACUUAAUCAAUACAUAGUUUUGUUGUAUGUGUGUUUCCGCUUAAAGACAUCUUAUUUAAUAUAUAUUGUUGAUUCAUUAACAUUGAACUCAGUCAACAGCACUAUAAUUCAUACCUCAACAAAGCUUAUCUAACACUGCUAUUUUCUCUGCAAGGCUCAUGACAGCCUUCUUGUGCUUAGGAGCACUAUACAGCACAACGCUUGGGGACCAUUUUAAACAGCAACAUCAACAAAAAGUACAAAAACGUGAAAAACAUAUCACUAAAUGGAAUGUGAAAAGGACACUUGGUCCUGAUGGCUCACGCCUGUAAUCCCAGCAAUAUGGGAGGCCAAGGCGGCUGGAUCGCUUCAGCCAGGGAGUUCAAGACCACACUGGACAACAUGGCGAAACCCCGUCCCUACAAAAAAUACAAAAAUUAGCCGGGCAUGGUGGCUCUCGUCUGUAGUCCCAGCUACUCCAGAAUUUGAGGUGAAAGGAUUACUUUAGCCCGAGAGGGCGAGGCUGCAGUGAACCAAGAUAGUGUCACUGUACUCCAGCCCUGGCAACAAGGGGACACUAUGGUAUAGCAUGAGAGCUGAAACAAAAAGGCAGAGAAUGCCUUGUUUAGCCUCAGCUGGGAAUGUGCACUUUGGGCAAUUAAAAAUUUUCCCUGCUCUGUACAUGUCCAAGAAUACAUGGAGGUUACAGAUCAAUUUUAGCAAGUAGGCAAAUUUGCAAAUAUGGAAUCCACAAAUAAUGGAGAAAGACUGUAUUUCUGUUUUAUACUGCCCUAUUUUCUAGUUGUACUCACAAUUUUGUAGUUCAUUAAAUUGACUAGUAGUUUACUGUAUGUCUUGUCUUUAUAAUGAGAUUGUAAAUAACUUCUGAGGAAAGACCAUGACUCAUUAUUUCCAAAAUUUACUUGACCUAGUGCUGUGCUAAGUACACAAUAUAUAGUAGUAAAAAUAUUUUUGAAUGAAUGGUUAACAGUGGGCCAGAACUUGGGACUUGUGAAUGACCAGAAGCUUUUUCCUUUAGCACACCCUAAGAGGUAAGGAGAAAUGUAACAUUUU
rnacentral:lncRNA from 1 species